AGUCAACAUGCCCAGGGGACGUGGAUAACCUCGGGAAACUGAGGAUAAACCGGGAUAAGUCACUACUUCUGGAAUGGGUAAUGACUCAAAUCUAUAUGGCCCCUGGAUUGGACUGCGGCCGAUCAGGCUGUUGGUGAGGUAAUGGCCCACCAAACCUGUAACCGGUACGGGCUCUGAGAGGAGGAGCCCGGAGAUGGGCACUGAGACAAGGGCCCAGGCCCUAUGGGGCGCAGCAGGCGCGAAACCUCUGCAAUAGGCGAAAGCUUGACAGGGUUACUCUAAGUGAUUUCCGUUAAGGAGAUCUUUUGGCACCUCUAAAAAUGGUGCAGAAUAAGGGGUGGGCAAGUCUGGUGUCAGCCGCCGCGGUAAUACCAGCACCCCGAGUGGUCGGGACGUUUAUUGGGCCUAAAGCAUCCGUAGCCGGUUCUACGAGUCUUCCGUUAAAUCCAACUGCUUAACAGGUGGGCUGCGGAAGAUACUAUAGAGCUAGGAGGCGGGAGAGGCAAGCGGUACUCGAUGGGUAGGGGUAAAAUCCGUUGAUCCAUUGAAGACCACCAGUGGCUAAGGCGGCUUGCCAGAACGCGCUCGACGGUGAGGGAUGAAAGCUGGGGGAGCAAACCGGAUUAGAUACCCGGGUAGUCCCAGCUGUAAACGAUGCAGACUCGGUGAUGAGUUGGCUAUAUGCCAUCUCAGUGCCGCAGGGAAGCCGUUAAGUUUGCCGCCUGGGGAGUACGGUCGCAAGACUGAAACUUAA
rnacentral:rRNA from 1 species